rnacentral:tRNA from 1 species
GGGGCAUUAGCUCAGAUGGCUAGAGCGCAUCCAUGGCAUGGAUGAGGCCAAGGGUUCAAGUCCCUUAUGCUCCACCA